GAAAUGCGAUAAGUAAUGUGAAUUGCAGAAUUCAGUGAAUCAUCGAAUCUUUGAACGCACAUUGCGCCCGCCAGCACACUGGCGGGCAUGCCUGUUCGAGCGUCAUUUCAACCCUCAGAACCCCUUGCGGGAUCUGGCGUUGGGGAUUGGCAUCCAGCCAGCCCCGAAAUCUAGUGGCGGUCCCUCCGCGACCUCCCCUGUGCAGUAGCGAUACCUCGCAGCGGGACAGCGGUCUGACCACGCCGUAAAACCCCCAACUUCUCAAGGUUGACCUCGAAUCAGGUAGGAAUACCCGCUGAACUUAAGC
rnacentral:misc_RNA from 1 species